UAAACUGGUAGUAUUAUAUUAA
rnacentral:miRNA from 15 species